GUGGCUUGUUUCUCAGCAAAACAAAAAUGGAACGUUCAGAGAACCAGGCAGAGUUAUACGUAAUAGAAUGCAGGGCGGUUCAGCAGCAGGCGAGAGGACUCUCACGGCGUUUUCUAUUAUCGCUCUCAAAGAAGCUGAGAACAUGCAGGGAAGCAAAAGUCAAGAAAAGUCUCUAUUUGAUGAAAGAAGA